rnacentral:rRNA from 1 species
GCUUGCUAAUGAAAUUCUUAGUGGCGGACGGGUUAGUAACACGUGAGAAUCCUACCCUUGAGUGGGGAAUAGCCUUUCGAAAGGAAGAUUAAUGCCCCAUAGUCUCUACGGAGUAAAGAUGCCUUCGGGUGUCGCUUAAGGAUGGGCUCGCGGCCUAUCAGCUAGUUGGUGAGGUAAGAGCUCACCAAGGCAACGACGGGUAGCUGGUCUGAGAGGACGAUCAGCAACACUGGAACUGAGACACGGUCCAGACACCUACGGGUGGCAGCAGUCGAGAAUCAUUCACAAUGGACGAAAGUCUGAUGGUGCAACGCCGCGUGGAGGAUGACGGCCCUAGGGUUGUAAACUCCUGUCAUCAGGGAGUAAGACUUAUUCGUUAAUAGCGUGUAAGUUUGAUAGUACCUGAAGAGGAAGGGACGGCUAACUUCGUGCCAGCAGCCGCGGUAAUACGAAGGUCCCAAGCGUUGUUCGGAAUAACUGGGCGUAAAGCGUGUGUAGGCCGCGCGGAAAGUCGGAUGUGAAAGCCCAA